UGGGCAAAUGAAGAGGGGUUGCUGCAUUUUAUGGUGGCAUGUCCACCAUAUUUUUUCAAAAUUAUUUGGUCAAGAAUGGAUCUUAGGUGACUGGAUUUCAAUCAAUUAGGAUUAAUAGGCAAAAGUUGAUCCAACAAAAGUUAAUUUAAAGUAUCCAAAAUUUUCCUCUUAGACGGAAAAAAUGUAGAAUGAGAGCACUGUAUGCCUGUUUGUGUAGGGAUGCUGCUAAAUCUAAUUACAUAAAGUUGAUCUGCGUAUCAAAACCACACGUAAGUAAAGUCAUUAUUGUUGUCUCUGAUCAUUGCCAACAGGUUGCCAACUCAAGAAGCAACGGAAAGACCUAAGACUUCUGUCUGUUUUUCUUAAAAAGAAAGCUUUUGGAAAGAGCUAAGAUUUCUGUAUUAAAAUUUUUUUUUGAAAUCCUUUUGGUAUAUUCUUAGCCAUUUAUAAAUUAUCAUCUUGGCCCACCCAAGGUCACCAGUCCUCGAGGUGCACGGCAUGGUGUUCUUUGGCUUUCUCCAAAGGCCAGCAAGCUGAGUUGCCGAUAUCCUUGUGAUGUAAUCAUAACAUGCAAAAGUGUAGCGUCCAACGUGAAGCAUGAUUGCAUACAUACAUAAAUUUUGUCUGGCCCAUGGAACUAACACCAAUGACAGGGAGGAAGCCUUUGUUGGAAAUGUUCAAAAUAAGUGCAUAUGGCUAGCUCAUGAAGCAUGAGUGUGAGUGGUUAGAGAGAGUGAGAGAGAGAGCUACCUAAUUCUAAACAUGAAGCAUAGGAAGUAGUCNNNNNNNNNNNNNNNNNNNNAGGGAGAGAGCUGCCUAAUUCUAAAUAUGAAGCAUGGGUAUAAGUGGGUUGACUUAGACCGCUACCUAACUCAGAUUUUGACCUAUUCAUUCUUGAGUCGAGAUUACCACAUAGAUUAACUUGUGACAACAAUGACCACUGUUUUAAAUCUAAUUUAAGAUUUACUACUUUCAAUAUUGAUUUUGUUUUGUUGUGACUAAGGGUUUUUAAAGGAUCAGUCACUUAUUUUGACUAUUCGAUGUGAACGGUUACUAUUUGCAUCUGUUUAUUUUUUACAAACGAGACUACAGAGCUUGUGAGAAAGUUAACAUAUACAGACAAAGCUCUUAUAAACAAUCUAUUAAAGCUCCUUUGCUUUCAACAACUUGUUUUUUUCUCAUUUUUUUGGUUGGGUGCUUUGGUUCACAACAUCUUUAAGGAGUGCAGUGCUUGGAGAUCUUAAAGUUAGGCAUCCUAUCCUGGAAAUAGGAAUCACUAUCUUAAAGAAAGCAGUAUAAUUAGCGUGCCUUGGCUAACCAAAGCCUUCUUUGUUCCUAUUGCUUUAAUUCUUCUCCAUUCCACUUUAGUCUAUACCCAAUUGUCCAACAUCAGAAGGGAGGGAAAGAAGAUGAAACGCAGAGGGGAGGGAAUUCCAUAAUUUCUUUAGAGCUUAGCCCUUGACGCAGAGAUCCAUGAAGAAUCUAGAGAUCAGACCGAGCUCCAUAGAGCCUCAGCUGAUUUUGAGGAAUCCUGAAGAUGCAGGCAUGUAGUUCAAUGUAAUUGCUUUAAAGAAGAGUCAUGCUGAUUAAACUGUGUCAAAAGAAUGAGUUGGCGGUGCGAUGUUUAAGCUCAGCUUGUUUUCUGCAUGAGCAUUUAUGAAGCCAAAUUUUGGGCCAAAUGCAGUCUGUUAAACAGAUCACUCGUUCAUUUGGCAACUCUAUUCUGAUUGUUUGACGUCCUUAUCCAGUUUUGGUUGACCAAAUAUCGCGAAUCGUAGGAUUGCCUUUUUUCUUUAAACAUUAGAACGCAUUCGUGAUAUAGAGGGAGAGAGACCUGGUGUAGACUCUAACUGUGUAUUGAUGGUUGUCGUAAAGGAGGUGAAGGUGAGAUUAAGGGCUUGUUCAUUUUCUAGUUGAAGAUACAUGAACCUGCUUGCUCUAGUAAGAAUUAAUUCUGAGGCAUUAUGAUGUUGAAAAAAAGACCUUCGGGGACUAGUCCAAACCUGCAUAGUUACACCAUCCAUUCUACAGGCAUCCAUUUUUUCUGCUGCUCAGAGCUCAGUCAGAACUUCACAAUGACUACAGGAGCCAGCUUAUAUUCACCAGGAUCAGUCCAUAUCCUACGGUCCUGGUAAACAAGCUCCGACCAAAUUGACUCAGUAAAAUUGUUUGUUUUUGUGAUUAGAAGACUCUCAUCUUCCUCUUUUUCCUUUUAUUCUCUUUUCUUAGUGUGAUCCUUUUCUGGAACUUCUAGAAGUUCUAAGACAAGUAGAUUUGAUGCAUCAAGUUUGAACUUCAAACUAAAUUUGGCUUAAUUUGUCAAAAUUUCAGCUUGGAAUGAUACAGUUGAAGAAGCAUGCCAGAAUGGCAUUGCAGUUAUUGCAGAACCAGGAGGGAGUAUUAGGGAUCAGGAUGCUGUGGACUGCUGUAAUAAGUAUGGUGUUUCUCUUCUUUUCACAAAUGUGAGGCACUUCAGGCACUGAAGGUGAAAUAAUAUGAACCCUGCUGUGCAAAAGAAUGCCUUGAAGGUACAAAUAAGGUUCUGUUAAGAUUAAGUGCGCAAGCCAAGGCUUUUGGGAAUAACCUAGAUUUUUGGUUAAUUUGAAUCGAAACCGGAGAUUCUAAUCCGGUAUGCUGAAAUUAAUUAAAUUUUGUUGGGCCUUAAAUUUCUUUAGGAUGCUUUUCUUUUUCAUAUCUAAGUUAUCGAUCACAAAUGUUUUGAGUAUGAAAAUUUGGUGUGCGAGUCACUUUUGGCAAUAAUCCAUUGCACAUGAUUUCUCCUCUCGACGAAAAAUAUUCGGUCAGCAGGUGACUUAAAUAGUUUGCAUCUUCAUGAAGUUUAUGUCAAUUUUGUUGAGAAAUAUCUUAUGGCACAGCUGGGUCAUGUAGAUUUUGGAUUUUGCCAAUGGUAAUCCGAAUUGGUCCUAAUCCACAUGAUGUAUAUCCCUAUGAGUCUCUGACUCUGUCCUACCAUGAGACAAUACCCCAUAGCCUCUGGGCCAGCAAGAUUAAUGCUUUCUUCUUCUUCUUCUUCUUCUUAUUUAUUUAUUUAUUUAUUUUUAUUUAUUUUUCUUAAGAACAAGAUUAAUGUUUGUUGGUUAGCUUUACCUCCGCUCUGGUCAAAUGAAGGGAGGUUGCUGCAUUUUAAGGUGGCAUGUCCACCAUAUUUUUCCAAAAUUAUUUGGUCAAGAAUGGAUCUUUGGUGACUGGAUUUCAAUCAAUUAGGAUUAAUAGGCAAAAGUUGAUCCAACAAAAGUUAAUUUAAAGUCUCCAAAAUUUUCCUCUUAGAGGGGAAAAAUGUAGAAUGAGAGCACUGUAUGCCUGUUUCUGUACGGAUGCUGCUAAAUCUAAUUACAUAAAGUUGAUCUGCGUAUCAGAACCACACGUAAGUAAAGUCAUUAUUGUUGUCUCUGAUCAUUGCCAACAGGUUGCCAACUCGAGAAGCAACGGAAAGACCUAAGACUUCUGUCUGUUUUUCUUAAAAAGAAAGCUUUUGGAAAGAGCUAAGAUUUCUGUAUUAAAAUUUUUUUUCGAAAUCCUUUUGGUAUAUUCUUAUCCAUUUAUAAAUUAUCAUCUUGGCCCACCCA
rnacentral:lncRNA from 1 species